rnacentral:misc_RNA from 1 species
CUCCUUUCUCUCAAUCCAUCAAAGACAAAAGGCCCAAUGGCCUAAUUUCCUCUCUAAAGCACCUGUCAAACACCCCCAAGGAACAGUUGCGGAGUUGCUCUUCUUUCUUCUUCUCUUCUCUCACCAUGACAGACAGGGUUUACCCUUCUACUAAACCCGCCACUAACGGCACCACUACCACCACCAACCCCUCUUUUCCGGCCACCAAAGCUCAGCUCUACGGAGCCAACCGUCCUGCCUAUCGCCCUCAACCCCAACGCAAACGAAGCCGCCGGAGUUGCUGGUGUGCCUGUUGUCUCUGGGUAACCUUGAUCAUAUUCAUUCUCCUCGUCCUGGUUGCCAUAGCUGGUGCCAUUAUCUACGUUAUCUACCGUCCCCAGCGGCCCACCUUCUCUGUCUCCGGCCUCAAAGUCUCCUCUCUCAACUUCACUUCAUCUUCCCAGCUCACCACCAACAUCAACUUUAACAUCACCGCAAGAAACCCAAACAAGAAGCUCGUCUACAUCUACAACCCUGUCACUAUCUCUGUAACUACAGAGAAAGAGGAUAUUCUUAUAGGCAAUGGCUUGUUACCCUCUUUUGUGCAUGGCACCAAGAACACAACCUUGCUGAAGGCUACCAUCACAAGCAGUGGUCAACAGCUAGACGAUAUCCCUUCUAGCCAAUUGAAGACGGAUUUGAAGAGCAAGAAUGGCUUGGGUUUGAAGAUAGAGUUGGAAACUAAGGUGAAACUGAAGAUGGGAGGUUUAAAGACACCAAAAGUUGGGAUCAGGGUAUCCUGUGAAGGGAUCAAAGUCACUGUUCCCAGUGGGAAAACGGCAACCACAGCUUCAGUAUCUAACGCUAAGUGCAAGGUUGAUUUGAGGAUCAAAAUCUGGAAAUGGACUUUUUGAGAUGGGAUUCAUCGGUGUUUAAUUUAGAAAAUAAAAAGUGUGAUUUUUUUUCCCUCUUUUUAAUUAAUUACAUAUACGUUAUUCUUUCACUCUUAUUUUUUUGUUUAUAAUUUUUUUCCCUCUUUUGUUCGUGAUAUAUUUGUAAAUUGAACAAAAUUAAUUUGGUGAUUGGUGGUAGUAGGAGACACAAAUUUUAUUUUGUCAUAUAUAGAUUUGAAAGAUUUUAAUUUGUUUAUUUUGAUUUAUUUAAAAUGUUCAGUAUCUUUUCUCAAAUUUUAUGUGAAUU